UUAUCAACAGCUUUAUUGCAGGAACGCCU
rnacentral:piRNA from 1 species